ACUUGUGUAAAUAUCUUAGAUAUUUACUUAGGAAGAGUUUAGAGACUUAAUUGUAGCCGUCGGAUCAAAUUGAUCCCAACCAUCCAUUUAGGUAGCCAACUAGUAUAAAUAGGCACCUUAGGCAUUUCAUUUGGCAUCAAGAAAUCAAGCAAAGUUGUAAGCAUUCAAAGCAUUGUAAAGUUCUCGAAGUUCUCUCAAUAAAAGAGUUCUUUCUUCCAACUACUAGUUUCCUUCGCCAAGUUUCUACAAGCUUAGUCUUUCUUAAGUUCUACUAAGCUUCCCGGUAGGCUGACUAGCUAACUUUGGCAUUGAAAGUUCGCUAGGCCGGAUAGAUCGUCGUGUUUGAGUUACGAUAGUCUUUCGUAAGUUCUACUAAGCUUCCGGGU
rnacentral:lncRNA from 1 species